UCUGAGAAUAAAAAGGUAAUACCUUUAGGGAAACCUACACUUUUUGACGGCCUUUUUUCUAAUCAAAGGAACUUGUUUACUGAUCGAAACUACCCGCUAAUUUUUACUUCCCCUUAAAGUUUUUAUACCGUCGUCUCAAGAGCACAGCUUCAUCUUUGCUCAAAACUAAUUUAUUAAUUAAGUCAGAUCCAGGUAAAGCCCAUGGGGGAGAAUAAAAUGAGUUAUUCAUAAAAAUAAUUUAAAAAUUUUUCUUCAAAAAACAAAUGAAUUAAGAUUUGAAAGUAUUAUUAAAUUAACAACUUAUAAAGAACCUGUAAAAAAGG
rnacentral:rRNA from 1 species